CAAUGAAAAUGUGGGCAACACACGCUAAAAAAAGCAGGCUAGAUCAUUUCAUAUUACAUAAGUUAUAAUAGCCAGCUCCCUAAAAAAUGUUCUGUAAAUGUUACAUUUUAUCAUCCAGGCAUAGAAAGGUCAAUGUCAUACUAAAACAAAGGAUGGACACAUCAUUUUAUAUUCAUCAAUUAUAACAAAAAUCAAGUUGAUAUGUACUCUAACAGGGAUUCCUAUAUAAAAAUGGAUGAACCUAAUGGUUACAUUGAUGGCUGAGAUCUAGAAGGAACAAAAGUGAACCUAACGGUUCAAAUUUAGUCUGAUGCUCUCAGACUGUAA
rnacentral:lncRNA from 1 species